GAUGAAGAACGUAGCGAAAUGCGAUAAGUAAUGUGAAUUGCAGAAUUCAGUGAAUCAUCGAGUCUUUGAACGCACAUUGCGCCUCAUGGCAUUCCGUGAGGCAUGCCCAUCUCAGCGUUAGAAAAUAUUCUCAAAUUUUAGUUUUGUGCUAAAAUUUGGAUCAUGUCAAGGAAGCUAUUACUAUUAUUGUGAUCGCUCUUUGGAAAUUGAUAGGUCUUUGAGUUGCUACUCAUAGAACGUGAUGAAUCUUUCUUCGUUCUAUUGUAAUUCACUCUGGUAGUCCUAAAACUUGUAUGCCUGUGGCAUAUCUUGUAAUUUGACCUGAGAUUGGGUAGGGAUACCCGCUGAACUUAAGCAUAUCAAUAAGCGGAGGA
rnacentral:misc_RNA from 1 species